rnacentral:misc_RNA from 1 species
GAAAUGCGAUAAGUAAUGUGAAUUGCAGAAUUCAGUGAAUCAUCGAAUCUUUGAACGCACCUUGCGCUCCUUGGUAUUCCUUGGAGCAUGCCUGUUUGAGUAUCAUGAAAUCUUCAAAGUAAAUCUUUUGUUAACUCAAUUGGUUUCUACUUUGGUAUUGGAGGUCUUUGCAGCUUCACACCUGCUCCUCUUUGUUCAUUAGCUGGAUCUCAGUGUUAUGCUUGGUUCCACUCGGCGUGAUAAGUUAUCUAUCGCUGAGGACACUGUAAAAGGUGGCCAAGGUAAAUGCAGAUGAACCGCUUCUAAUAGUUCAUUGACUUGGACAAUACUUUUAUGAUCUGAUCUCAAAUCAGGUAGGACUACGCGCUGAACUUAAGC